rnacentral:misc_RNA from 1 species
GUGAAGAACGCAGCGAAAUGCGAUAAGUAAUGUGAAUUGCAGAAUUCAGUGAAUCAUCGAAUCUUUGAACGCACAUUGCGCCCGCUGGUAUUCCGGCGGGCAUGCCUGUUCGAGCGUCAUUUCAACCCUCAAGCUCUCCGGAGUUUGGUGUUGGGGCGCCUGGGGCUUUUCGACCUCAGGGCCCUCAAGUCCAUCGGCGGGACCGCCAGGACACUGAGCGCAGUAGUAUUAUUUCGCUCGGUAGGAUCUUCCACGGCGGGUCGAUCUGGCCGCUAAACCCCCCAAUUCUCACCAAAGGUUGACCUCGGAUCAGGUAGGAAUACCCGCUGAACUUAAGCAUAUCAAUAAGCGGAGGA